GCAAGUUUUUACUUUCAACUUUUAUUUCCUAAAUAGGAUAAGUUUAAGGAUACUUCAUGUAUGCGAGGACCAAGGAACAUUUGAAAUACCAUCUUGAUGUUGUGUCCCUGGCAGGAAUAGGCAAAUGUAGUGACAUAUAAGUAAAAAAUUGAGCCUAAAAGAAUUAACAGUGGCUCAAUCGAAGUUAGAAUAUGCAUAGAUUUUAAUGAAGUGAGGAAAAACAUAUGAGAACUAGGAGGGAGACUCUUGCUAAAUGGAAAAAGUAAAGCUGUGGCGAGUGGCGUUAUAUUGCCUGUAUUAUUGCUGGGGGAAGAUUCAUAUUUAACAUUUUGGCAUAAUGGUGAUAUUCAACUAAGCAUCUGCCAUCUGUUUGUUCAUUUUUUAUAAGGGAAAUAAUUGCUUCUUAUAACUGCUCCUUUAAGCACUUGUAGAAACUAUGCCAACCAUGUUUGUCAAAAUUGAGGUUCUAUUUAGGAUCAAAAGGGAGGUAAAAGAUCAUAAAUUGUGUGAUCAUAACAUGCCAACAAGAUCAACCUACUAGAAAUAUGAAAAACAUGCUUUUAAAUAAAAGUAUGAUGAUGAUAUUCUUAAUUUUAACAUGAAAAAAUCAAGUAGAAUUCAAAAAAAAAAGGUGGAAUUCAAAUUUAGUUAGUAGUUAUUGGAAAUUAAUAUCUAAAUUUAAACAUCUAUAUUAUAUUUGGUAAUAAUUAUAAAAGAAGAAUGCAGCAAAAGGCAAUAGUAAAGUUUACGGAGAACCCAAAGAUCAGAGAGAAUGUACCUCUUGUUGUGUUGAGUGAUGACAGAAGCUGAGAGUUUUGAUGAGUUAGGGAAGUCUCGGAAGAUAGGUGUGACAAAAGGAGGCUGACUGGUUGGGCAGGGGAAGGAUAGAACUUGGUCAAAUAAAGUAGUAGAGGGUUAAGGUUUCUGAGGUGAAAAAGGGUUUGGAAGAAGGGGUAAAUCUCAUAGUGGUUAG
rnacentral:lncRNA from 1 species